rnacentral:rRNA from 1 species
CUACGGGAUGCUCCAGUGGGGAAUAUUGCACAAUGGAGGAAACUCUGAUGCAGCCAUGCCGCGUGUGUGAAGAAGGCCCGAGGGUUGUAAAGCACUUUCAGUUGGGAGGAAGGUUAUGUAGUUAAUACCUGCAUAAUUUGACGUUACCUUCAGAAGAAGCACCGGCUAACUCUGUGCCAGCAGCCGCGGUAAUACAGAGGGUGCAAGCGUUAUUCGGAAUGACUGGGCGUAAAGCGCGCGUAGGCGGACUGUUAAGUCGGUUGUGAAAGCCCUGGGCUCAACCUGGGAAUGGCAUCCGAUACUGGCAAUCUAGAAUUUAAGAGAGGGAAGGGGAAUUCCUAGUGUAGCAGUGAAAUGCGUAGAUAUUAGGAGGAACAUCAGUGGCGAAGGCGCCUUCCUGGCUUAAAAUUGACGCUGAGGUGCGAAAGCGUGGGUAGCGAACGGGAUUAGAUACCCCAGUAGUC